UACAGAGGGGGCAAGCGUUGUUCGGAAUUACUGGGCGUAAAGGGCGCGUAGGCGGCCUGCUAAGUCGAACGUGAAAUCCCUGGGCUCAACCCAGGAACUGCGUCCGAUACUGGUUGGCUUGAAUCCGGGAGAGGGACGUGGAAUUCCAGGUGUAGCGGUGAAAUGCGUAGAUAUCUGGAGGAAUACCGGUGGCGAAGGCGGGUCUCUGGGCCGAUACUGACGCUGAGGAGCGAAAGCGUGGGGAGCGAACAGG
rnacentral:rRNA from 1 species